rnacentral:lncRNA from 1 species
GUUGUGUUUCUCGGUUAGCUAAAUAGUAAAGAUUUUAUUACUACGUGAAUUAAAAUUUGAAUCUCCUGCGACAUACAAUUUGGAAUUCUUUUCUAACUUAUGGUUUUGUACAAUAGUUAUACAUAUUAUUUCGUUCCUUGUAUAUUUAAUAGUACUAUAUUUACGUAUGGGCACGGGCAUUUCGUUAAGCGGGUACUCGAUGUACCGAAUCUAAAAAGUAUUCACAGUUAAAUAACAAUGCAUGUAUGAUGAUACACGAAAGCGAAGUUCAAGAUUAAACAUAUAUUACAAACUAAAUUUAAACAAAUUAUGAACUCAUAUUUCAAUUCCUUUUUGUAUAAAAUUUCAGGUUCAUUAUAAUGAAAAAAAAAAAAU